rnacentral:antisense_RNA from 1 species
CAUAAGAAAAAAUAACUUGUGGAUUUAAUGUUGGAUUAGUAAUAUAUCUCACAUCUCCUCCUCCUGGCGCCCAUGUAUCAUAUACGCCACCAAAGAAUAAGGCUUUAACAACCAAUAAAAAUGAUCCAAUUCCUAAUAGUACUAAGUGAAUACCUAAAAUUGUAGUCAUUUUAUUUUUAUCACGCCA